rnacentral:rRNA from 1 species
UACGUAGGGUGCAAGCGUUGUCCGGAAUUAUUGGGCGUAAGGAGCUCGUAGGCGGUCUGUCGCGUCGGCUGUGAAAACACGGGGCUUAACCCCGUGCCUGCUUCCGAUACGGGCAGACUAGAGGUAUGCAGGGGAGAACGGAAUUCCUGGUGUAGCGGUGAAAUGCGCAGAUAUCAGGAGGAACACCAAUAGCGAAGGCAGCUCGCUGGGACGGUACUGACGCUAAGGCGCGAAAGCGUGGGGAGCGAACAGG